UACGCUCGUGACGCACGGAGUUCUGGGAGCUGUAGUUUCCUUGGAGAGGCAAGGUUCAAGAUGGCGUCCUUAAUGUCCGACGUUGAAGAGGUCGGGGGAGGCAAGGGAGGGACUUAAGAGUCGGGAAGAUAGGCAGUGGAGAGUGAAACUUGGCUUCUUUAUUUCCUAUCUACCCCAUCCUCAUAUUUUGCUGUUAUAUUCAAUCGUUUCCUGCUUUGGGGUGAAGAAAAAAAUAAUACAGGUGUAAAGAAGUCUUGAAUCAAGCUUCAAGAAUUUAAAACAAUUUGCCAUUGACUGCCAAGAAGACUUCUAAAACCUUGCUUUACAGUUCUGGAUACAAGAGUUCCAAGAAGUAUGGCCCCUGGAAGUCUUCAGGAGAACCCAGCUCUAGGGAAGAGAAUGAUCUUUGUCUUUUGACUUUCACCUCUAUCCGCCUGGAAAGGAAAGAGAAUUUCUUUCUCUUACUCUUCCCCACCCCACCCCCACCCAAUCCUAUCUACCUUGAAUUGGAAUGAUUUGCCCAGUAUAUCAGAUGAGAAAACUCUGAGUUUAUUUUUAGUCUUCUAUUUUCUCCCUUUAAGCCUUCCUUACACACAUAUCUAAUUAUGUCAUCCUCUGCUCAAAAUUAUUCAAGUUUCCUGUUGCCUACCAAAUAUAUUUCAGAUUUACCCAGGUACACUCUCAGUCUCAAUC